rnacentral:rRNA from 1 species
AGGGAAUUUUCGGCAAUGGGGGGAACCCUGACCGAGCGACGCCGCGUGAACGAAGAAGCACCUAGGUGCGUAAAGUUCUUUUAUUAGGGAAGAAUGUCAUAAAGAGGAAAUGCUUUAUGAGUGACGGUACCUAUUGAAUAAGCCCCGGCUAACUAUGUGCCAGCAGCCGCGGUAAUACAUAGGGGGCAAGCGUUAUCCGGAAUUAUUGGGCGUAAAGGGUGAGUAGGCGGUAAGUUAAGUUUAGGGUAUAAGCACAUUGCUCAACGAUGUGAGGCUCUAAAAACUGGCUAACUAGAGUUAGAUAGAGGCAAGUGGAAUUCCAUGUGUAGCGGUAAAAUGCGUAAAUAUAUGGAGGAACACCAGUGGCGAAGGCGGCUUGCUGGGUCUAUACUGACGCUGAGGCACGAAAGCGUGGGGAGCAAAC